rnacentral:rRNA from 1 species
UACUCCUACGGGAGGCAGCAGUGGGGAAUUUUGGACAAUGGGGGCAACCCUGAUCCAGCCAUGCCGCGUGAGUGAAGAAGGCCUUCGGGUUGUAAAGCUCUUUCGGCCGGGAAGAAAUCGGCGACUCUAACAUAGUCGCUGGAUGACGGUACCGGACUAAGAAGCACCGGCUAACUACGUGCCAGCAGCCGCGGUAAUA